GAACUGAGGCAAGGAAGGCAAGCCACAUGUAAACACAGGGCGGGGCCAACAGAACAAGCCUGCAUGUGAGCAGCUGCAAACAAUCCAUUUUAAUUCCAAGUCAGUGUUUAAGGACCCUGGGUGUUAUCGUUAGGGAGGUGGAAGUGAAAGUGGAAUUGAAUUUGGCAGGCAUGUAUUUUCCUAUGGACCGUGCUCAAUUCUUCUAAUCAUAGUUAUUAUGAAUGUUCCUUUCCAAUUUAUUCCUCAUGUCACUUUGUGCUUCGUGUUCUCCCCACCAUCUGCUAGUUGAAGGUAUGGAGAGGGGUUUUUGAUUCUACAAAUAAUAAGGUGGAAAGGUGAUUACCAUUAAACCGUAUAAACACACGCACAAUCUCCCUGGCUUCUGCCCUGCAGGGCCAACCAAUUGCGGACAUUUGAUGAAGGUUAGAAUUAUCUGAAGUGUGCAAGGACCUCGGUCAUAAUCAUGUUAUUUUCCAAAUGCAAAUGUAUGAGUGUAUCACGGAACAUUCUCUGGGCCUUCAGCAAACCAGGAAUAAUCCCUAAAUCCCUUUCCAGUCAAACCUGAAAUUCAUCCUACCUGUCUCUUGAAGAAAGGGAGUAUACCAACCACUGGAGUGUUGUCUAGCUGCUUUUUGCCUCCCUCAGCCCUAAGAAGAGGGACCCAAGAUGCUCUUGGCACCCACAUGUGAGAUAUUCCAAUGAGAGAUUGCUGUUUGAUCUUCAGGGUCAUGCCAACUGCUUCUGAAAAAUGCUGUAGCAUUUUUGGAGUCUAUAGACUUGGAAUUUAUAGAACACUGGAUCGGCUACAGUAAACCUCCCUUGGUUUGGUCCCAAAUCUGCAUCUAUGAACUAUUCUUCAUAAGUUUUGUUGCUCUCAUCUACGGCCAUACCACCCGAAUGAACCCUAUCUUGUCUAAAAUUGUUGCCAUCUGCUAAUUUCAGAGAAGGUGGAGUUUCCUUCUCUACUUUUCAUUUGUGUUACAGCUUUGAGGUGGCUCUAUGGAGAACAGAUAAUGGUCCCUAUUCUGCCAUCUUCAACCUGACUUUUAUAGCGUGUUAGUUGUGCAAGUAAUUUUCAUUAGUAUUGUUUUUUCCAAUUUUAUUGUGAUAAAACUGACA
ensembl:lncRNA